UACAGAGGGGGCAAGCGUUAUUCGGAUUCAUUGGGCGUAAAGGGUGCGUAGGUGGCGCCGUAAGUCGGGUGUGAAAUUUCGGAGCUUAACUCCGAAACUGCAUUCGAUACUGCGGUGCUUGAGGACUGGAGAGGAGACUGGAAUUCAUGGUGUAGCAGUGAAAUGCGUAGAGAUCAUGAGGAAGACCAGUGGCGAAGGCGGGUCUCUGGACAGUUCCUGACACUGAGGCAUGAAGGCCAGGGGAGCAAACGGG
rnacentral:rRNA from 1 species